GGUUGCGGCGGGGCGAGGAAAAAUCGAGGGGGCUGCUGCGCCGCCGCCGCCUUCGCCCGGCUUCCUCCGCUGGCCCCACCUACCGCCGCCUGGAGCAGGCCGAAGCGUGGAGACAUGCGCGCUGGGACCGGGGUCCCCGGCAGCCGUCCGGUCGCGCUGCGCGUGCGCAGAGAUGAGGCGCCGCCGCCGCCGCCGCCGCUGCCGCCGCCGCCGCCGCUGGGUGGAAGUUUCCGCACCGCCAGGCGAGGUCUGGGCUCUCGCCCCGGGCCUGGCCCGGGGGCCGCCCGCUCGCGGUACGUGUGGGCUGGGCCAGCACGGACCGCGGUCCGGCCGCUCUCCCAGGAAAAGGGCAAAGUGCGCCAGGCUCCCUGCUGUCCAUCCUCAGGGGCCCGUGUGCAGCCGGUCGCGCUGCGGUCACUCGUGCCCGCGCCCGCCCACGUGCUCGCGGGCGACCUCCCGGAGGAGCGGGUCACUCACCCGCUCCCGGGGCGGCGCUGCCCGCUAAGCUGCUGCCCCAGACGGAGCAGGACCGUCCUUGGCGGGUCUCCUUACAGGCAUAUUUGUUACCUUUUAAUAGUGAUUUCCUAUGUAGGGAAUGGGGUUAAAGCUUUACAGUUAGCUCACUGGCGCGACUUCCCGAGGCCGACUCAGCAGUGCUGCCCAUCAGAGCAGCGGCCCACGUGCUUGGGUGUCUGGGCUCGCGGCUGGCACAGUGUUGGCAGGAUUCCACAGAGAUCCUGUCCACUGGGCGAGUCCCCCGGUGUCCAGAGGAUGCCCCAAGCCCGGAUUGACAAUGGUGUUGUUAGGACUAUUCCGCUAACCACACAUUCUGUGAAGUCCAGAGCAAACGCCAGAGUGUCCUUAUAUAAGCCUGCUUGUGCCCCAUGAGCCUAGCCAGGGUGAUGGGCACCGUGGCCCCUCCAGAGCCCAGGCCCCAGAGGGAGCCCCUGCCUGCCCUGGUCCCUACCCAGCGGAUGCACUCCCUGGCCAGGCAACCUAAGCUCAGCGCUUGGGCCAGCGUUCAUUUUAAACAUUGAAACAAACCCUUUCAAUGUGCUCUCCUGCUUCACUACAUCAUGGGUGAGUACACGUUACUAAGCGCCUGACACUUCAAGACAUUGUAACAACGAUCCGUGUUUUGCCUCCUAAGGCUUUUUGGCAAACGGUAAUAGAACUGCAAAUGACUUGUGGUUCAGGCGUUUUGUAUUGUACAUAUGGAUAUUACGAGCAAGGAUUAGAACGUGUGCAUUAAAUAAACUGGAGAAAAUCACACACAAACCAGUCAAACAGUGGUUACUCUGGAUCUUCCAGUACCUAGGGCCAAAAUCCCUGGGGUCAUCCCAGCCUCCCCUCUCCAUAACCAACAGAAACAUCCAAAACCCAGCAGCUCCCCUCACUCGCAUCUUCUCACCUAUAGCCCUUUCAAACCACCACUAUUUCUAGCAUAUUUUAUUUUAUUUAUUUUUAUUAAAGAUUUUAUUUAUUCAUAAGAGACAGACAGACAGAGGCGGAGGGAGAAGCAGGCUCCCCGCUGAGCAGGGAGCCCGAUGCGGGACUCGAUCCCAGGACUCUGGGAUCAUGACCUGAGCCGAAGGCAGACGCUUAACCAUCUGAGCCACCCAGGUGCCCUCUAGCAUAUUUUAAAACUGCCUCCUAGCUAGUUUCCCACAUUCCAUUCUGGCCCUCUGGCAUUUUCUCCACAGAGGAGCUUGUGAGUGAUCCUUUAAAAAAAAAUAAAGAUUAUGUCACCCUCCUGCUCAAAACUCUCCAGUGGCUUCCUUUCUCAAACUCAGGCUUACUAUGACCUGCAAGUCCCUACACUGUCUGGUCCUUCUCCCUUUUUCUCCCACGUCAUCUUGCACCUCAUCCCCUAACCCAGCCUGCUCCAGCCAGAAGCAUAGUGGGCACAGAGGGGCCUCAGGGCCUUCGCACUUGCUGUUCUAGCUGCUUGGAUGCUCCUCCCCCACAUACCCACAUGGGUCACACCUUACCCACUCUCACACCUUAGUAAGGAUGUUGCUCUAUCUAAACUACAAACUUAACCCUCAACACUCCCCACUUCCAUUCCCUGCUUUAUUGUUCUCUUAGCAUUUAUCUCCAUUGGUUUCCUAGGACCACAAACCGGGUGGCUUGUAACAGCAGAAAUGUGUUCUCUUUCUUUCUCUAAAGGCUUAAUGCCUGAAAUCAAGGUGUUGGCAGGGCCAUGCUCUCUCUCCGAGGUCUCUAGGGGAGGAUCUGCUCCAUAGCUUUCUCUUAGCUUCUGCUGUUUUCCUUGGCCUUCUUUGGCCUGUAGGUGCCUCACUCCAUUCUCUACCUCUAUCAUUGCAUGGAGCUUUCCCCAUGUCUGUGUCUCCUCUUCUUGUCAUAAGGAUGCCAUUCAUACUGCAUUAGGGUUCACCCUAAUGGCCUCAUGUUACCUUGAUGACAUCUGCAGAGACCCUAUUUCCAAAUAAGGCUAACAUUCUAUUGAUAUCCCGGGUUAGGACUUGAAGUUCAUCUGGUGGGAGGGGGCGGGGAGCACAAUUCAAUCCACUGUGCCAUCUCAUGAAUUUUAUUUACCUUGUUUAUCAUGUGUGUCCUCUCACCCCAUUAGAAUCUAAGUUCUACAAGGAGGGGGCUCUUUAUCUGUACUUUUCCCUGCUGUGUGCGAGCUUGAAGACUGUGACUGGCACAUGGUAGGUCCUGGAUGGACAUUGGUGAAAUGACCAACAGUCGGUUGACCAACUCAAUGGGAAUGAAAGCCUUGCCUGGCUUCCAGGAUCUAUCCACAGAUUGCUAUUUACUUCUUUCCAACAUUUUAAGUUUGUUUUUCCCUACGGCCUCCUGCUUUAUCUUUGCAGCUUGUCUCUAGGUAAUCUCUCUAACUUGAUUCAUCAGCCAUAGUCAACUGCUUAUAAUUAGAUCCAGGGUUUCGUUAUGUACGUAUUUGAUCAUAAGUUUUUAUGUAAAUUAGAAGCAAUAUGUUUCUUUCUGCAAAGAAAAGAAUUAAUACUAAGUCAAAUGUAGUCCCUGUUGCAGUCCCUGUGCCUCUGGGCAGAGGAGGUCUUUCUCACUGCUUAUCAGUUCUCACAGAUAAGCCCAGCUUUUUCCUUCUGUGGCCAAAACCAACUCUUCUCUCUCUCUCUCUCUCUCUCUCAUGAUGUUAGAGGUGGGGUAAUAUUAGAGAUUAUACUAUGGUUUUAGUGAUUCAUUCUCAUGAACAAAUAGUUUCCAAAGCUUCGACUACCAUGGACUUCCUGGGCCAGAAUCAGAUAUGCUGGUUAAAAGGCAGAUAGCAAGGGCUAACCCGAUCUGAAGCUUACGCAGAGUGAGGUCCAGGAAUCUGUGUCUUAAGUAAAUUCCCUGGGCAAUUUCAAGCACGGUAAAGCUUGAAAAUCUUUGCCUAAUUCAGGGUUCCCAAACUCCCAAGUUCUCAACAGGAACUGAGUAGGUUAUGUAAGUAACUGAAAAAAAUCAGGGUGUGUGUGCAUUAGUCAGCUACUGCGGGCUAACAAACCACUCCCAAACACAGAGGCUCAAAGUGUUUAGUAUUGCUCACAAGUCUGCAGAUCAACUGUGUGGUUCUACUGAGCUGGUCAGACACAGCGGAUCUUGGUUUACAGAUCACUUCUAGGCUCCAGUCAGCUAGCAACAGGCUAGCCCCAGCUUGUUCUCAGGGCGGCUGAAAAGGUUUCAAGAAAGCAAACAGACAUGCCUGAAGUAAGAACUGGCACGCCUUCACUUCCUCACCAUUCUGUGAGUCCAAGGGCUCUUCAAGGAGUGCGGUCUUAGUGGAACACGUUCACGUGGAUUGCUCAGGCUGCAGUCCUCUAGCCCGGGCUACUCUACAAGGAGGAACAAGAGCCUACCGUUUGGCUGGAAAUUAGUGCCCUGGCCAGAAUGGCAAGUUGACCCGAGCUCCUGUUCACUGAAGAAGGCGGAAUGAAUGCAGGACGCAGACCUUGAGCCGGGCCAAGAGCAAGCCUUGCCGGGGGGCCCCAUCUUGGGGGCUUGAACACGGUCUCAUUUAAUCAGAGCAACACCUCUGCAAGGGAACAAUUGUUCCCACCUUGCAGGUCCUGUGCUGAGCGGUAGGAACCCACCCGGAGUGUUGGUGAAGGUAGCUGCAGAGCUGAGCCAGGGCGGCCAGCGUGGUAGCCCUGCUCUGAGCCAACUGGAAACCAACUCCAGUUGGCUCUUCCGUGUUGCGCAAGACCAUCCAUAAAGCACACAUGAGGGCUUUUCUCCCCCAGUCAACGAGACACGAAGAACUCCCUACAAGGAAAAACACCUGCUGUCCUGGCUCCUCAGCACCUGUCACCCAUCUCCUGUCUGCCAGCAGUUUUCCCCUGGGACGUUCUACACACCACAUGGAGCCCCUGGGAUUGUCAUAAGAUGGAAGCUUCCGAGAUUUGUGGUCCCUGACUUUAGUGACACCUUGUGCCCUCCCAGCCCUGUCUGUGGACACCGCUGGGGUAAUGGGUGUGCUGGAGCUGGCGUGGAGGGUAGAUGUCUGUCGCCCCACUCUUGCUACCUGUCUGUGCUGCCCUCCUGACCCCCCUACCAUCUCACACGCAGGGAAUUUUCACAUAUGUGGACAUACACAUACAGAGUCGAUCCUCCUUACUCAGGGACUCCAUAUUCCUGAUUCACCUGCUUGCUAAAAUUUAUAUCUCUCUCCGCCCCCCCUCCCCCAAUCAGCACUUGUAACACUGCCAUGGUCAAUCAAGGGCACGUGUAGAGUGAGGGAAAGAAUGUCACCCAAUGUGCUCAUUUCCAGCUGAGAGAGAACAAAGCCAGACUCUGCCUUCUUGUUUCAACACCCCCUACGCAAACAAGUGUCCUUUAUGCAAGUCUACAUAGUACCAUGUUUUCCUCACUUGGGGGCCUUUUGUCGAUUUCCCGAUUUCAAGUGGCUCAAACAGUGCCCACGUGCUGUCUAGUGAUCCUGAGGGCAAGAAGGCUAUGAUGUCCCCUACAGAGAAGGUGCGGGUUCAGGCAUACGCUGUAGUGCUAUUGACAGUGAAUCCAAUGUUAACUGAUCAAUUAUAUACAUUAAAUAAGGUGUCUUCAAUAAUUCAUUAACAAUAAAACAGAAUUAUAUAUCGAUUGGUUGAUGAAAAUGUUAUGACGAGAGACUCAGAGGAAACUAACCCUGCAUCUUCUUUAGGAGCCAUGGUUCAGGAUUCGCUAAUUUGGUGCGUGGUGCAGCUUUGUAGACAUAAUGUGAAUAGUGAGUUCGGGCUGCAUCUGACGUCACAGAAAUCCGACAUGUAUCGUGUCCUCGAUAUAGUCGGGCGUGGUGGCCCUGUUCCAGUGAUCAUGAAGGACAUUGCACAGCAUCCUCUGCUCACCUGAAUUCCCAACCUCAAUCUCUGGAGCCCAAAAUGAAGAGACUUACACAUUUCUCCUUUCAUCUCUGAUUUUUUGUUUGUCCCGAUUUGUUGGGAAGUGCAGGAACAUGGCAGGUCUCUAACACUUGUUUUGUUCAAUUUUGUUUUUAUAAUUUACAAGUGUCCCAAGGCUGACGUUAAGCCCAAGGACAUGCACUGUUUGGGCUGUGCAGUGUUUAUGAGACUUCUAAAUUGGUUACAUUUGGAAAUCCAAAGAUUUCACAUAAAAUGCUGAGAGGACCGUGCAUGUACCUCUCCCUCCCACCUCCUUGUUACCGAUCUCCCAGUCCAGCACCUUGUAAGUCGCUGAGCAACCGCAAAAAUCAGUAGCUACCCCCCAUCACUGAGUGUAGAUCUGUCCUCGUCAUUCUCAGUCCCGACAGAGUGGAAGAGCUAAUGAACUGCUUGGCCCUCUGGCUUUGGGGGAGUUCUCCCUCCAGUAUGGUCUUCCUGGAACUUUCCUGAUGGGGUUGAUAUGCUGCAGUAAACCACCCCCAGUUGGCUCUUCUGUGUUGUGCAAGACCAUCCAUAAAGCACACAAGGGUUUUCUCCCCCAGUCAACGAGACACGAAGAACUCCCCACAAGGAAAAAGAGGCAACAUAGCCAGCACACGUGUCAGCCUCUGAACCAUGUGCUUGUGCAACUCGCUUGUGCGUUCUGUACCUGCUGGGGGCCAGAGAUACAGAAGCAACCCCACCUGAUGAUGAAGCAGAUACACUCAUCCCAACUUGCUGGGUCAGGUAGCACCAUGUCCAUAAUGGAAAGUUUGGGUUCUAGGCAUUAGAAUACUGAAUCUUGAGCGUCUCUCAACUGGAAAUAGCCUCUUUUUUUUUUUUUUUGGCUGGAGAUAACCUCUUUUCCCUACUUGUUUCGCUGUUCUCCACCUCCAGGCAUACCCAUGCCUCAGCUCCAAGGAUGAAUCUUGGCUGAACAGAAAAAGAUGGAUGAAGCCACAGCUCAAUCUCUGAGACUGAGUAUCAAGUCACCCUUGACAUCCAUUUGAGUCAGGACCCAUCCACGUUCAUGUGCAUCUGGUAUCCGAGUCUGAGCCGUUGACAGAAUGUCUGUGUGGAUGGCUGGGGGUUCCAUUUGCCUCCUCUGCCUGCCUUACUUAUCUUACCAGCUGUCCCACCCCCACCACCUCUUGCCAGAGGCCCUUUUGACAGAACUCCUGAAUUCCUGCUUAGCUGUUCAAUCUGAUGCCAUGUCCUGCAAUGUAUUUUUUAAUUCUUUGUCAUAGGUUUAGAUGAUCAUAGAAAAGUUGCAAAAUUGUGAAGAGUUCCCAUAUGCCCUUCAUGCAAUUGUCAAACCAGGAAAUCAACACUAAACUAUAGAUCUUGUGAAAUUAUACCAGUUUUUCCUCAAACGUCCUUUUACAGUCCAGGAUCCCAUAUUGUGUUUAAUUUGUUGUGUCCUUCGUCUCCUCCAGCUUAUGACAGAUCCUCAGUCUUGUCUUUCAUGACCUCCAACCCAGGCCCCCUCCGGUGAACACGCUUCAGCCUCUGUCCUCACUAUAGCUGAAUACCCUGUUUCCUUCCCCUUAUCUACCAUGUGAACUCCUAAUCAGUACUCCAGAUAAUAUUAUUUAGGCACGUAAUGCUAAGCCUCAGUGCCUCAACAUAAUAGCAAUUUACUCUCACUUACUCGAGUCCUGUGUGGAUGUUCCCGGAUGGGUGGCUCUCCUGAGCUCUCCUCCACGUGGUAGGGACAUCUUAGGACACUGCUGUCCCCACCUCGUGGCCUCUAAGAUCAGCACAGAAAAGAAGAAAGAGGAGAAGUAUGUGUGGAAGCUUCCGUUGUUUCUUUAAAUAGCACAAGCCACACAGGCUCGCAUCAUUGCUGCCCAUGUUACAUUGGUCAGAGCGAAUCCAGAUGCAGGAGAGAGGGAAAUGCCGUUUCCUGUAUCCCAGGAGGGAAAUGAGGCAGGGUAUUCAAGUUAGACGAUUGUCUCCGCUGCUGGCCACCCUUUUGGUCAUCAAACAGCUUUCUUUUUCUUCCCACAUGCUACAGCUUGCUCACACUCUUCCCGAGAGAGAACGUGCACACCCGUUCAGUAACAGUAGCCAACUCCAGGCCCAGGAUCUCUGAAUGGAUCUGGCCUCUCCAUGAAGAACAGGGGCAGCGCUUUUGGUCUGGUCUCCUGUGACCUGAGGGAUACUUGAUUUGUCAUUGGUUUCCCUGAUAUCCAAUCAAUAGUGGUGGAUCAGGGCCGGGGAACUGCAUGGACCCCUCCCUCUUGGAAAAAGGAAGUAGGGAAGUCUCAUACCCAUCACUAGCCCAUAGAUGUACUUUAGUCCUGCAGGACGGGUGUGGUGAUUUUCUCUGCUCUGGAUGCUGAGACCCCACAGUGACAGACCUCACCUUCUGGGGGCUCCUCCUUGCUCCUUAUUUUGCAAGGCCACGUAAGAAUGGGCUUCGGGGAGUGCAUUCUCCUGUUGGCAACACAACUUUGGGAGCUCACUUCCUGUUUAGCAAAGACUGGGGCCUCAAAGUUUAUUAAGUCCCAAACAACUGAAGGAUUUUUUGGGUCCCGACUCAUGGUAUUCUUGGCAGUGCAGUCGUCUCAAAAACAUAGUGACUUCUGAUCUAUUUGUACCAGUAACCAUACCCCUUUCUUGGAUGUCAUUCUGGAACCUACUUCAUUUCCCUGCCUCCUCACUGCUGUGAAUCUGUCUCUCAACUUAACAGCAGCUGUCUGAGGCCACCGGGGUGAGUGGGAGGUCCGUGCGCUUACUCACACGUUGGCCCUGGGUCACUUUAUGGACUUAGAAAGUUCACCAGCACUUAACGAGUUCAAAUUAUUUUUUAUUCCCAUACUUACUGGUUGGGGACUAGAAGGUUACCUUUUGCAACCCUACAAGGCCCUGAAUUUCUGGACCCUAUUACCUUUCAUUUUCUGCUCAAAACAGCCAAUUACUUCCUGAGCUCAUCUCUUUCUUAUAUUGCCUUUCCAAACAGAUCCACUUCCAAUUAAAACACCUUUCUAAUAUUCCAUUUUCCAAGGACUCCUCCUAUGAGCCUGCAGUGAUGGGGUCUGCCUUCCAAGUCCCCGCAGACAGCCAUCUUGCCAUGUUUUGUCAAUACAUAGCAUCGAUGUUCGGCCACCAGCGAGCCAUGUGUCUUCCUCGCCUCCUGCCCAACUGCUAAGAAAAUGGCCACAUAGUUGUUAUAGUAGCAACUUCCUGCAAGAUACCACUUUCCAUAGCAUUCAAUAAAUCAUGCUAGUUGUUGCAAACAACCCCCAAUUCCAGUGGCUCCACAAAAUAAAUUCAUUUCCCACCUUCCCCAUACCCACUGAGGAUUUUCCAGGUAGGGCACCCACCUUCAGACAAUGACUCAGUGAUCCAGAGCCUUCCGUCUUGGGAUGCUGCUGUUUCCAGUAUGGGGCUCCAACUUCCCACAGGAGAAGAGAGGAAAGGAUCAGGUGUCCAAGAUAUUUUAUGGGCCAGCCUGGAUGUGUCAUACAUCACAUCUGCCGGCGUUCCGUCAGUUGGAAUUAGUUUUAUGGCCUCAGGUACAAAGGGAUGGUUAAGGUCAUCCACCUGGGUGUCCAGGAAGAUAAUUAAAUGGUUGAAAAUAAUUAGAAUUAUUUCUGGCACAAAGACUGGUCCGAAAUGUCACCUGAUAUCUCUGCAGAAUCAGGCAUUUCCCUUCCACUGACACUGUGUCUUGUACAUAAUUUGCACCUGCCACUUUGAUUAAAAAUUAUUUUAUUGUCUGUAGACCCGCCAGGUAAGGAGUGCCUUGAGGUUAAGAACUGUCCCGUAGUGCUCGCUUCGGCAGCGCAUGUACUAAAACAGGAAUGACACAGAGAAGAUGAGCGAGGCCCCAUGCAAGGAUGACAUGCAAAUUCAUGAAGCGUUCCGUGUUAAAAAGAAAGAAAGAAAGAAAGAAAGAAAGAAAGAAAGAAAGAAAGAAAGAAAGAAAGAAAGAAAGAAAGAAAGGAAGGAAGGAAGGAAGGAAAGAAAUGUCCUGUAUACAUCUCCGUAGCACCUGAGCCUGGCACACGAAGGUGUUGAGUGCUUGUCAAGAGAACGAGGUGACCAGAGGGAGGCCAGGCUAGGAGAAAAUGUUGAGAGGCUGUUCCUCCUUGUAGAGCAGGAUGGGGUUUCUCUAGUAGAAAGGGAAAAAUUGGAGGCUAUCAUAAGACAUAUUUUCUAAUAAAAAUGAAUGUAAUGGGAAAAAUUGGAGGCUAUUAUAAGACAUAUUUUCUAAU